rnacentral:tRNA from 1 species
GCCGGGGUGGCGGAACUGGGAGACGCGGCGGGCUUAAAACCCGCUGGCCCUGCCGGGGCCGUGGGGGUUCGAUUCCCCCCCUCGGCA